rnacentral:rRNA from 1 species
CGAACGCUGGCGGCGUGCUUAACACAUGCAAGUCGAACGGAAAGGCCCUGCUUGCAGGGUACUCGAGUGGCGAACGGGUGAGUAACACGUGGGUGAUCUGCCCUGCACUUCGGGAUAAGCUUGGGAAACUGGGUCUAAUACCGGAUAGGAGCCAUCUUUAGUGUGGUGGUUGGAAAGUUUUUUCGGUGUAGGAUGAGCUCGCGGCCUAUCAGCUUGUUGGUGGGGUAAUGGCCUACCAAGGCGGCGACGGGUAGCCGGCCUGAGAGGGUGUACGGCCACAUUGGGACUGAGAUACGGCCCAGACUCCUACGGGAGGCAGCAGUGGGGAAUAUUGCACAAUGGGCGCAAGCCUGAUGCAGCGACGCCGCGUGGGGGAUGAAGGCCUUCGGGUUGUAAACUCCUUUCGCUAGGGACGAAGCUUUGUUGUGACGGUACCUAGAUAAGAAGCACCGGCUAACUACGUG